GACGAACGCUGGCGGCGUGCUUAACACAUGCAAGUCGAACGGUGAUCUUGAGAGCUUUGCUCUUGGGUGAUCAGUGGCGAACGGGUGAGUAACACGUGAGUAACCUGCCCCUGACUCUGGAAUAACUUCGGGAAACCGAAGCUAAUACCGGAUAUGACACAGAAUCGCAUGGUUUCUGUGUGGAAAGUUUUUCGGUUGGGGAUGGACUCGCGGCCUAUCAGCUUGUUGGUGGGGUAAUGGCUCACCAAGGCGACGACGGGUAGCCGGCCUGGGAGGGCGACCGGCCACACUGGGACGGAGACACGGCCCAGACUCCUACGGGAGGCAGCAGUGGGGAAUAUUGCACAAUGGGCGAAAGCCUGAUGCAGCGACGCCGCGUGAGGGAUGAAGGCCUUCGGGUUGUAAACCUCUUUCAGUAGGGAAGAAGCGCAAGUGACGGUACCUACAGAAGAAGCACCGGCUAACUACGUGCCAGCAGCCGCCGUAACAC
rnacentral:rRNA from 1 species